ACAAGGUUCCAGGCCCUACGGGGUGCAGCAGGCGCGAAACCUCCGCAAUGUGAGAAAUCGCGACGGGGGGAUCCCAAGUGCCAUUCUUAACGGGAUGGCUUUUCAUUAGUGUAAAGAGCUUUUGGAAUAAGAGCUGGGCAAGACCGGUGCCAGCCGCCGCGGUAACACCGGCAGCUCUAGUGGUAGCAAUCUUUAUUGGGCCUAAAGCGUCCGUAGCCGGUUUAAUAAGUCUCUGGUGAAAUCCUGUAGCUUAACUGUGGGAAUUGCUGGAGAUACUAUUAGACUUGAGACCGGGAGAGGUUGGAGGUACUCCCAGGGUAGAGGUGAAAUUCUGUAAUCCUGGGAGGACCGCCCGUUGCGAAGGCGUCUAACUGGAACGGUUCUGACGGUGAGGGACGAAAGUUAGGGGCGCGAACCGGAUUAGAUACCCGGGUAGUCCUAACUGUAAACGAUGCGGACUUGGUGUUGGGGUGGCUUUGAGCUGCUCCAGUGCCGAAGGGAAGCUGUUAAGUCCGCCGCCUGGGAAGUACGGUCGCAAGACUGAAACUUAA
rnacentral:rRNA from 1 species